rnacentral:rRNA from 1 species
GAAGUAAAGUGUGACGGGGUUACCCAAAGUGUUCAAUUUUGAACUGUGGUAGGUGAGUAAUGUCCCCUACUAGAAAGGAGAGGGCAAGGCUGGUGCCAGCCGCCGCGGUAAAACCAGCUCUUCAAGUGGUCGGGAUAAUUAUUGGGCUUAAAGUGUCCGUAGCCGGUUUAGUAAGUUCCUGGUAAAAUCGGGUAGCUUAACUAUCUGUAUGCUAGGAAUACUGCUAUACUAGAGGGCGGGAGAAGUCUGAGGUACUACAGGGGUAGGGGUGAAAUCUUAUAAUCCUUGUAGGACCACCAGUGGCGAAGGCGUCAGACUGGAACGCGCCUGACGGUGAGGGACGAAAGCCAGGGGAGCGAACCGGAUUAGAUACCCGGGUAGUCCUGGCCGUAAACGAUGCAUACUAGGUGAUGGCACGGCCAUGAGCCAUGUCAGUGCCGUAGGGAAACCGUUAAGUGUGCCGCCUGGGAAGUACGGUCGGAAGUAAAGUGAAGUAAAGUGAAGUAAAGUGAGCACA